CAACCCUGUCAUUUUUCUUUGCAGUGAGAACAUAUCUGAUCAAGUAAACAUUACUACUCAAGGCUUUCAUAAAACAUUGAACAUAUAAUUUGAGUUUCUCCAAGCAGCCAAACCUUCUUUAACUUUGAAAAUUUUGCAUAUUUACUAAUGAUGAAUUCUGCGGAGAUCUGUGCUGGACAGCCUGGGAAAGGAUUGAGCUGAUCUAUUUCUCCAUUACAUUCUUUCCAAGAUGCUUAAAAAUAUGCCAGGGCAUUUAGUGAUAAUGUUUGGCUGGUACUUCAACUAUGGAUCUGUGGGAAGGUCUGUUGCUUCGAUUAUUUCUACGUUUUCAUUAUUCUGUACAUACUCUGCUCUUCUGACACUGCUAACUGACUGGUCGGAUUAUAGGUAAGAGAGGGAUAGAUGAUGUUAUUACGUAGGGCAGGGUCAACAAACUAAAGUUUUAGUGGGAUGUAGCCAUACCUAUCCAUUCACUUAUUGUUCAUGGUUUCUUCCGUGCUACAAGAGCAGAAUUAAACAGGUGCAAGAUAGCCCCUCUGGCUCAGAAACUCUAAAAUAUUUACUAUCUAGCCCUUUGCAGAAGAAAUUUAUUGACCUCUAGUUUAGGGUUACAGCAUUUUUCCACUGGAUGCAUUGUAUUGAAAUAAUGCCUUCAUAUAAAGAUGUCCAAGAUCUUUACAUAAAGAUGUUCAGAAGGAGAAGAUCUAUGUAAAACUGAAUACAGUAUAUCUAUUUUGGGAGGAACCAUUACUUCAGAAAGGUCUAGGCUUCCCCAAUACACCAUCUUCAAAUCUGUACUAAUAAUGACUGUACCUUCCUAAUGCACACAGUUUUAUUGGGACUAUGUUGAGAAUCAAAACUAAAUUUCCCAACCUGCCUUCCAGCUAGGGUUGACCAGAUAAUCAACUUUUUCGCAAAAGGUAUAAGCACAUAUCAUGAAUGUAAAUUUCUGCUCAGUUUAAUGCAAGCCUGUCUAUGUUCCCUGUGUCAUUCCUGCUGGCUGAGAUAUUGAUGCUACGGUGAGUCCAGCAAGCUUCUUGGACCGUUUUGCUAAAAAUAAACAAGUAUCAGGAAGAUGGAGUUGUGGAUUCUCAACAAGCAGGCAUUGCCAUACGGGCUCUGAACUGUUGAUUCCACACAGUUUUGUAUUUGUUUUAAACACAGUUGAUUAGAACGAUAUGGAUUUAAGCCAUUGCUCCUUGGGAAUUUUUAUUCCGUGCUACAUUCUCAGUACUUACUGUGAUUUUUUGUAAGUGGUGGCUAGAAAGGAAUUCUUAUUACAUAUAAUGGGUCCUUGUUGGGUCUGCACUUUGGCCCUUUCCUUCUGGGCACGUCUUUCAUUUCUCCCCUCCAUCUAUAUGGAUAAAGCAGGAACAUUUAUAAUUACAAAUUGACAUGUGAGAUUCUCCCUUACUUGACAAAAUUAAUUGGACCAAAAUUAGACAGAAGACCCCAACAGGGCAAACAACAAGUGACAACAGUCACUUGUCUGGAAAUUGUUUCCACUGGUGACCUGGGAUGCAUCCAAAGACCAUAUUUUUUGACAUCUGGACUUGAGGUGGAGAACAGAGAAGCUCUAUAAUAAAAGCGAAUGAAGCAAAUGUACUUGUAAAGGCAAUUACAAGAGGAGGUGUCCUGAGAACUAGGAACCCCUGCUUCCAGUUCUCGCAUUCAAUUUCUUGUUCAUGGUACCAUGAGACACCCAUAUUUAGUGGCUAAAAAAUUGUUCAGCUACCAAUUCAAAACUGAAAAGAGAUGGAAUCUUAUGGAUAGUGUUUUCAUACGUAAAAUUAUAUUCUGCUUUGAGCCCUCUUUCUGCCAGGUGGUAGAAAUUUAAUUUUAAGCAAUUCGGGAGUUCCCAAUUCCUUUUCUUUGGAAUUCCAUCUGACUUCCUGGGGGUUUCUGUAGUGCAAAGUAUUGAAGAUAUCCAUUCCUCAGUCAGCAUUACCAAUCUACAUUGAAAUACAUUGGAAAUGUAAUCUACAGAAACUGCACUGCUCUUGAAUUUAAGUGAUAUCAACUCCCCCGUAUUUUUGUAACAUAUUAUAUAUUCGUUAUAAUUGAGUUAAACCAAAUCUACCUUAGAGUUACUUGUUUUUUAAUCAAAAACUUUAUCUUGGGAUAACAAGUAUUACAUAUUUUCUACCCCAGUGAUUCCGAAUUUUCAAGGCAUAUGAAUCACCUGGGUAGCUUGUUAAAAUGCAAAUUCUGGCUGGGCAUGGUGGCUCACACCUGUAAUCCCAGCAUUUUGGGAGGCCGAGGUGGGCAGAUCACCUGAGGUCAGGAGUUCGAGACUAGCCUGGCCAACAUGGUGAAACACCGUCUCUACUAAAAAAUACAAAAGUUAGCUGGACGUGAUGGUGGUGCUCCUGUAAUCCCAGCUACUGAGGAAGCUGAGGCAUGACAAUCGCUUGAAUCUAGGAGGAGGAGGUUGGGGUGAGCCAAGAUUGCACCACUGCACUCCAGCCUGAGCGACAGAAUGAGACUCUGUUUCAAAGGAAAAAAAAAAAAAGAAAAUAGAUACUGCUUCAGAAAUUAUGGGAUGGGGCUGAGUUCCUGCCUUUCUAACAGGCUCCCAGGGGAUAC
rnacentral:lncRNA from 1 species